rnacentral:rRNA from 1 species
UUGCUGUUUCGCUGACGAGUGGCGGACGGGUGAGUAAUGUCUGGGAAACUGCCUGAUGGAGGGGGAUAACUACUGGAAACGGUAGCUAAUACCGCAUAACGUCGCAAGACCAAAGAGGGGGACCUUCGGGCCUCUUGCCAUCGGAUGUGCCCAGAUGGGAUUAGCUAGUAGGUGGGGUAACGGCUCACCUAGGCGACGAUCCCUAGCUGGUCUGAGAGGAUGACCAGCCACACUGGAACUGAGACACGGUCCAGACUCCUACGGGAGGCAGCAGUGGGGAAUAUUGCACAAUGGGCGCAAGCCUGAUGCAGCCAUGCCGCGUGUAUGAAGAAGGCCUUCGGGUUGUAAAGUACUUUCAGCGGGGAGGAAGGGAGUAAAGUUAAUACCUUUGCUCAUUGACGUUACCCGCAGAAGAAGCACCGGCU